UAGCAGGCGGCUUGCGGAGCUGGCCUAGCCUGCGGGCGCGACGGGAUCUGCGGGCGUCGGGCGAACGCGUGGCAACGAGCACCUGGAGGAAACCCCGGCCUGGGAGCUGUUUAUUUAUGGCUGCAAAUGUGUGUGUUCAAGAGAGAGAGGGAAUUGAUCUUUGCCUGGACUUAAAGAUGGAGCCGAAGAAGCUGGAGGGAAUUUGGGCUUGUGCGUCUGGCCCAGACCCUGUGCGCCGAGCCCGAGGUCUAUCCUCCCCGCACCUCUCACCUCGCGACCUUGCAGGAAUCCGCGGGCCCGGAUGCUGCCCAGCUGACCCUCCUGCCCCGGGCCUGGCUGCAGAGAAAGUCUUCGGGCAGGAGGCCAUCCUGUUCCUGUCUUUAAAAUGAGCACAAUAAAAGGGGGCAAAUCCUCGAACGCGAACCUGAUCUCAUGUCACAGAAGCAACUUGCCAUGAAAUCCGCUAAUGCGCUGCGACU
rnacentral:lncRNA from 1 species